rnacentral:rRNA from 1 species
GAUGAACGCUGGCGGCGUGCCUAAUACAUGCAAGUCGAGCGAACGGACGAUAAGCUUGCUUCUCUGAUGUUAGCGGCGGACGGGUGAGUAACACGUGGAUAACCUACCUAUAAGACUUGGAUAACUUCGGGGAACCGGAGCUAAUACCGGAUAAUAUUUUGAACCGCAUGGUUCAAAAGUUAAAGACGGUCUUGCUGUCACUUAUAGAUGGAUCCGCGCUGCAUUAGCUAGUUGGUAAGGUAACGGCUCACCAAGGCAACGAUGCAUAGCCGACCUGAGAGGGUGAUCGGCCACACUGGAACUGAGACACGGUCCAGACUCCUACGGGAGGCAGCAGUAGGGAAUCUUCCGCAAUGGGCGAAAGCCUGACGGAGCAACGCCGCGUGAGUGAUGAAGGUCUUCGGAUCGUAAAACUCUGUUAUUAGGGAAGAACAUAUGUGUAAGUAACUGUGCACAUCUUGACGGUACCUAAUCAGAAAGCCACGGCUAACUACGUG